AUUGAACGCUGGCGGCAUGCUUUACACAUGCAAGUCGAACGGCAGCGCGGGCUUCGGCCUGGCGGCGAGUGGCGAACGGGUGAGUAAUACAUCGGAACGUGCCCAGUAGUGGGGGAUAGCUCGGCGAAAGCCGGAUUAAUACCGCAUACGACCUGACGGCGAAAGCGGGGGAUCUUCGGACCUCGCGCUCUUGGAGCGGCCGAUGGCAGAUUAGCUAGUUGGUGGGGUAAAGGCCUACCAAGGCGACGAUCUGUAGCUGGUCUGAGAGGACGACCAGCCACACUGGGACUGAGACACGGCCCAGACUCCUACGGGAGGAAGCAGUGGGGAAUUUUGGACAAUGGGCGAAAGCCUGAUCCAGCAAUGCCGCGUGUGUGAAGAAGGCCUUCGGGUUGUAAAGCACUUUUGGCGGGAACGAAAAGGACUGUGCCAAUACCACGGUUCGAUGACGGUACCCGCAGAAUAAGCACCGGCUAACUACGUG
rnacentral:rRNA from 1 species